GUUUUUUUUUUUUGUUUUGUUUUUGUUUUUAUUUUGUUUGAAAUCUUAUUAUUCUCGGUUUCUUAAAUGGGAGACAGUAAUGUUGCUGUUGUUGUUGUUUUAAGAGACCUGCAAAUCCUCAAGGCUGAACUCUCCCAUAGGCAUUUGAAUAGUUGUCAGGUGACUUUGGGUGGUUUGCAUACUUUUCUGGAGAGGGUUAGAUCAAACUAAUAAGAAGCUAAAUUCUCAAUGUAAUCACACUCUCCUGUGACAUCACAGGAUAAGCCACUAGUAUGCAGAAGCUUCUGAAGCCUCUAUCUGGGAAUUUGUCAAUGCACUGGGCAGAGUUGUCCCUGGUAUAAAUUGGAUAAACUCAAACAGGACAACCAAGUAGACAAAUGGAACUGACUCAUGAUGAAGCAGUAGGAUUUUCCCUCCCGGUUACGUUGAAAUUGACCAAUUCAACCAAACUGGCAGCGUUGGUGAGCUGUUUUGGAAUAUGAUUAACACUUCCCCAUUGUAUUUAAUGUUUUAAAUGUUUUACAGCAAAUUCUAUUUGAACAUGUACAAAAUAAAUGUUUGUCUGCUAAAUACAAGCUUUUUUUUUUUUUUUUUUUGUGGGGGCGUAGUACUUGGUUUAUUUCUGAUGCAGGGGAAUCUCGGGACAGUGGCAGGUUCCGGGCUGAGGGGGUGGGUGUCGGGGACGGAGCUAGAACUCCACCUUGCUGGUGGGGAAGGCCUCGUCCUGCAUGGACACGGUGCUGUUGCUGCCCAAUCACAUGGUCUCUCCCAAGGAUUGAGUUUUGCUGUAUGAGUUUGCUGCAGUAUUAGUUUACCGACAGAGAGAUAUAAACCAUGGCUUCCACAGCUGUUUCAGAUGAAACUGUAUAUUAAUGUGUAAACUUCCAAAAUACAGCUUAGCUGGAAUGUUAUGCAGAGCAGGUGACUGAGGAGAUAGCUUUCACUGCUUGGACGAAGGUCAGUUUUGAAGGAGCUAGAGAUGUCUGUUGAAUUCUGGUGCCUGUGUGGUUUGGGAGGUGCAUGUGCAAGGCAGAGAGCUCUUCUCAUUUCAAAUAGUUAAGGAUAUGGGUGGUGAAAUGAAGUUGUAUUUUUUUUUUAAUUUAUUUAUUCAGAGAGAGAGAGACUGAGAGGCAGAGACACAGGCAGAGGGAGAAGCGGGCUCCAUGCAGGGAGCCUGACGCGGGACUCGACCCUGGGUCUCCAGGAUCAGACCCCGGGCUGCAGGCGGCGCUAAACCGCUGCACCACCAGGGGUGCCCCUGAAGUUGUAUUUUUAAAAAAGAUUUUAUUUAUUUAUUCAUGAGAGACACACAGAGAGAGGUAAAGACAUAGGCAGAGGGAGAAGUAGGCUCCCCAUAAGGAGGCUGAUGUGGGACUCCAUCCCAGGACCCCAGGAUCAUGCCCUGAGCCGAAGGCAGAUGCUCAACCACUGAGCCACCCAUGCAUCCCAAAGUCAUUUUUUUUUUUUUUACAUUCUCACAUGAUAAGUAGGGAAAGUGGCCAAAUUCAGCACUGAUCUGUUAAUAUUAAUCUAUCACUCUGGUUUUAUGAUGUUCGAAACACAUGUUAGAGCUAUUCAUGAAGAUGUAAAAGAUAAAUUUUAAAUGCAUAUCAGUUGUGCCUGAAGUCAACUGGAAGGGAAGACUUUAAGUCCCUGUGGUGUUAGUACAAAUAGGCAGCCAAAGGACUAGAGUCUUAGUCAACAGACUUCUAUAUUCCCCCUAAACACAAAUAGCCUCAAACUUUUGGAGGUUGUUCCUUUGACAUGUUUCAUCAGUGACAUCACGGUGAUUGCCACCUCCCUCAGACUACUUUAGGCCCUGCCCAGAGUCCAGGAGUCCAGAGAGCCCGGGAGACAAGCGGGAGUGGGAGCCUGAGUUGGAGAGAGAGAGAAGAAGCCUACUGCAGCCAGGUGUGUCCUUGACCUUCUUUAGAUGACAGCAGGAUUUUUAUACAUAGCAAAGAGAGAGAGAGAGAGAGAAAGGAAAGUGUGUGUGUGUAUGUGUUGUGUGUACAAUUUGCAAAUGAAAAACACAGAGGCAUGUUUAUAUUUCUUAAUGAGAUAAGCAAUACCUAUUGUACCAAGUAUUUUUUAAGGUGCAAAGAGUAUUAUUUAUUCUUACUUGCCUUUUUUCCCCAUCUCCUGGUAUGCAUUUCUCCCUUCCUAAUUCUCAAAGCCUCCAUUCAAAGAAGGUCAAUGUCAGAGCUUUUAUUUUUAUUUUUAUUUCACUGAUAUGGCAAUCACUUUGGAUCAUAUGGUGUGAUCUUAACUCUGGGGAAGAUUUACAAUGAGGCCAAAAUUGUCUUUGUGGGGUAACAACAGAAAAGCCAAAGGUUGCUGAUCUGAAUAUCUACCUAACUUUGGUAUAAAUGUGUGUGAAAGUAAAUUCCACUUCUUAUUGUUAGCAUAUAUGUUGAUUAAAUUGGAUUUGUUAGAAAUUCUCAUCUUAACUCUUUGUGUUUUAUCCACUUAAAAAUAUAUAAAACAGCAAAUAUUCAAGUACACCAUCAAAGUGCAAGAAAUGGUAAGAGGUAAACUGUAGGAAAUAAAGAAGUGUAUGAGGUAGCCUGUCA
rnacentral:lncRNA from 12 species